rnacentral:rRNA from 1 species
ACUCCUACGGGAGGCAGCAGUGGGGAAUAUUGCACAAUGGGCGCAAGCCUGAUGCAGCAACGCCGCGUGAGGGACGAAGGCCUUCGGGUUGUAAACCUCUUUUAGCAGGGAAGAAGCGAAAGUGACGGUACCUGCAGAAAAAGCGCCGGCUAACUACGUGCCAGCAGCCGCGGUAAUACGUAGGGCGCAAGCGUUGUCCGGAAUUAUUGGGCGUAAAGAGCUCGUAGGCGGUUUGUCGCGUCUGCUGUGAAAAUCCGAGGCUCAACCUCGGACCUGCAGUGGGUACGGGCAAACUAGAGUGCGGUAGGGGAGAUUGGAAUUCCUGGUGUAGCGGUGGAAUGCGCAGAUAUCAGGAGGAACACCAAUGGCGAAGGCAGAUCUCUGGGCCGUAACUGACGCUGAGGAGCGAAAGCGUGGGGAGCGAACAGGAUUAGAUACCCCAGUAGUCC